rnacentral:rRNA from 1 species
CCUACGGGGGGCUGCAGUGGGGAAUAUUGGACAAUGGGCGAAAGCCUGAUCCAGCCAUGCCGCGUGUGUGAAGAAGGCCUUCGGGUUGUAAAGCACUUUCAGUGGGGAAGAAAGCCUUGGGGCUAAUACCCUCGAGGAAGGACAUCACCCACAGAAGAAGCACCGGCUAACUCCGUGCCAGCAGCCGCGGUAAUACGGAGGGUGCGAGCGUUAAUCGGAAUUACUGGGCGUAAAGCGCGCGUAGGCGGUCUGAUAAGCCGGUUGUGAAAGCCCCGGGCUCAACCUGGGAACGGCAUCCGGAACUGUCAGGCUAGAGUGCAGGAGAGGAAGGUAGAAUUCCCGGUGUAGCAGUGAAAUGCGUAGAGAUCGGGAGGAAUACCAGUGGUGAAGGCGGCCUUCUGGACUGACACUGACGCUGAGGUGCGAAAGCGUGGGUAGCAAACAGGAUUAGAUACCCUAGUAGUC